AAGAGCAUAUACGUAUAUUUGU
rnacentral:miRNA from 1 species